rnacentral:rRNA from 1 species
GAUGAACGCUGGCGGCGUGCCUAAUACAUGCAAGUCGAGCGAACAGACGAGGAGCUUGCUCCUCUGACGUUAGCGGCGGACGGGUGAGUAACACGUGGAUAACCUACCUAUAAGACUGGGAUAACUUCGGGAAACCGGAGCUAAUACCGGAUAAUAUAUUGCACCGCAUGGUUCAAUAGUGAAAGACGGUUUUGCUGUCACUUAUAGAUGGAUCCGCGCCGCAUUAGCUAGUUGGUAAGGUAACGGCUUACCAAGGCGACGAUGCGUAGCCGACCUGAGAGGGUGAUCGGCCACACUGGAACUGAGACACGGUCCAGACUCCUACGGGAGGCAGCAGUAGGGAAUCUUACGCGAUGGGCGAAAGCGUGACGGAGCAACGCCGCGUGAGUGAUGAAGGUCUUCGGAUCGUAGAACUCUGUUAUUAGGGAAGAACAAAUGUGUAAGUAACUAUGCACGUAUUGACGGUACCGAAUCAGAAAGCCACGGCUAACUACGUG